UAUUGCACAAUGGGCGCAAGCCUGAUGCAGCGACGCCGCGUGGGGGACGACGGCCUUCGGGUUGUAAACUCCUUUCAACCAUGACGAAGCUUUCGGGUGACGGUAGUGGUAGAAGAAGCACCGGCUAACUACGUGCCAGCAGCCGCGGUAAUACGUAGGGUGCGAGCGUUGUCCGGAAUUACUGGGCGUAAAGAGCUCGUAGGUGGCUUGUCGCGUCGUCUGUGAAAUUCCGGGGCUUAACUCCGGGCGUGCAGGCGAUACGGGCAUAACUUGAGUGCUGUAGGGGAGACUGGAAUUCCUGGUGUAGCGGUGAAAUGCGCAGAUAUCAGGAGGAACACCGAUGGCGAAGGCAGGUCUCUGGGCAGUAACUGACACUGAGGCUCGAAAGCGUGGGGAGCAAACAGG
rnacentral:rRNA from 1 species